rnacentral:lncRNA from 1 species
GAUGGCCACUUUCAACUAGUUCUGAUCAUCAUUUACUGGCAGCAUUAUCAUUGCUACCACACAGAAAAUUAAAAGGAAUAAGUGACUUCAGUGCACAUACAGAGUCAAGAAAUGGAAAGCAUCAUCUAUUUCUCCCAAAGUCACAAGAUUCUAAGGAUGGAAUGACAUGGGAAGAGUAAAAGUUGAGCAACCAAGAGGUGAAAGGGUAUCUUGUUCAAGCAUCCUGAAGUAGAGGCAUUGAAUACAAAAAAAUCAAGAGGAAUUUUGGAAAUUGAAUACACAGAGCAGAAUGGCUCAUUAGAUACAUCAUGAUCAAGACAACUAAUAGAAGAGAGAGUGUACUUUGUGCAUAUCAUUUCAGCAUCAUUGAAUUUAUGACCUACCAUUCUAUCAGGAGCAUAGAUAGUGUCAGGCAGGCAGGCAUGGAGCUGGAGCAGUACCUAUGAGUUCACAUCCUGAGAACAUGGCAGAGACAUAACUUUUGUAAAAAUUCAAAGUCAGAAGAGGUCCUUAGAUCUGUUGGAACUCGAGUUAUGGAUGGUUGUGAGCUACCAAGGGAGGUGCUUGGAAUCAAAACCCAGUGCUCGGCAAGAGCAGCGUGUGCUCUGACUUCUGAGACAUCUCUCCAAUCCAUCAGGGUCCUCCUGAUACACAGGCUGAAACCAAUAGCCCCAAGGAGCCCUGAAUUGAAAACAUGAGUAACCCCACGAAUGGAUCAUUUGACCUCAAGAGGGUCACAGCUCACAUACUGAGAACCAGCGCUUUAACGCUUUCUUGAAGUCUUGUAAACAAUACUAGUAUCCAGGACAAUCUGAUGUGCAAAAAUAUUAGAGGUCUUCUAGUAAAGUUUCUUUCAAU